AGCCUGGCCACUGAUUUGUUUUAAAGGGCCGCGGUAUAUUGACCGUGCGAAGGUAGCAUAAUCAUUAGUCUUUUAAUUGGAGGCUUGUAUGAAUGGUUGGACAAAAAGUAAGCUGUCUCGGUUAUAAUAAUUGAACUUAACUUUUAAGUGAAAAGGCUUAAAUGUUUCAGGGGGACGAUAAGACCCUAUAAAGCUUGACAAUAAUUUCGUUAUAUUAUAAAUUGUUAGUAUAACUUGAUUUUAACGGGAGUUUGUUUCGUUGGGGCGACGGGAAUAUAAUAAAUAACUGUUCUUUUAAAUAUAAUUACAAAAAUACUUGGUAAAUAAUUGAUCCUCUAUUAGAGAUUAAAAGAUUAAGUUACUUUAGGGAUAACAGCGUAAUCUUCUUUGAGAGUCCACAUCGACAAGAAGGUUUGCGACCUCGAUGUUGAAUUAAGGUAUCCUUAUAAUGCAGCAGUUAUAAAGG
rnacentral:rRNA from 1 species